GGAUUAAUUAAUUAACCGCAUUGUUCUUUAGACGAUAGUUGAAUUCCACACACUGUUCUGUUGCUUAGCUAGCUACAUUACUGGAAAACUUUUCUUAUUAAUUCUUGACAUGCAGUUUGAAACUUGCAGUCUCUCGCUUUUUCGUUGAUUAUUUUCCUUUUUCUUUUUUUUUCAUCUGGGUUUAAUUUGGAUUUUAUUGGCAGCUUGUGUAAUAGCAAGCUCGGUUUUUUCAGUUGGAAGCUGAAGGGAUCGAGUGUUCUGUAAAGAAAAGCGGGAUUUUAGCUUCGCAAACAGUAUACGUUCUUGCAGGUGCUAAUAUGGCGCCCAUGUGGGCUAACAAAAGGAGGAGAGGGUCAUGGAGUGAUUAUGAGUAUGAUCUGUGUAUGUCAACGAGCCGGAAAAGAAGACGCUUUAGCAUGUAUGACAGUUCCAGUCCUUCUUGUUAUAGUAAAGAAGAUGUCUUGGGUGAUGCUAAAAGAGACUUAGUUCCUGAUGCUGAUUACUCACUAUUCCUGAAACUUUUAAAUGUGGAUGAUGAAUCAGACGGUGAGGAGAACAAUGAUAUUGAUCCUGAUUACAAGAUAUUUUUGGAUCAUUUGAAAGCAGAUGAGAAAUCAUAUAUUUAUUUGAUGGAGAAAGAGGUUGGGAAGUCCAUCAGUAUUAAGUAUGAGACGUGGGAUGAGUCGUUAAAUGAGAUGGAGAAAGGGCGAAUUCCAGCUCUCAAUAUUUCAAUCCAAAAGAAAAAUGGUUCCAUGCCAAAUGAAGAUUACCGUCCAUUCUCUCCUGAUAACAAACAUGAUAUGGAAUCUUAUCCAUUGGAUGAAAGUUAUGAAAUAUUCCUCAGUAAACUUAGAAAUAAUGGGAAAUCUAUGAUUCUGGAGUAUGGCGAUGAUGUGGUGAUAUAUGAUAGUGAUGGCAAAGGUGGAACCGAUUCAGAAGUAGAACCAGAAUAUUCUCCAUAUAGCGGCCGAAGACAGAAGUUCCGCCGAUCUCUCUCGCCUGAUUCUCUCAAUUCAUCUAUGGAUGAAGAUGACUGUAGUUGCAUUGAGAGUCUCAGUGGUAGUAAUAUUUCUCAGUAUCGAGAGAGGCUUAUGCGUUUACUUCGGAUGCCCUAUAGCCUUCAGGAGUAUAUGGAACUCAAAUAUUUAGUAUGUACUAACAAGCGGUUGGUAAAAACAAGAGAUCUGCGGGGUCGUUUGGUAUCAUACCAAACAGAUGAGACUAGCCUUUCCUAUUUCGAUUACUAUGAUGACUUUAAGCAAGCGUUCUAUUCUGUUCAACAUCCACAUCGCCGUAAAAUACGUUUGAACCUCUUGCGUGGGUUUUUCUAUCACCUUCAGAAAAAAAAAUGAUAGGGAAACACUACUAUAAUGAAAAAGGAGCAUGAUACGUACUGUGUUGAAUUAGCGAAUGCCAAAAGAACUUGUCACAUGAAGGAUCAUUUAAACCAUGGUUGGACAGCGAUUGUUUGAAGAUAAAAGCCUGGGAGUAAAUAGACCAAACCCUCAUGUUUGCGUUGCAUCUACUGGAAAUUAUAUGGGAAUCGUAGACUUCCACCAAUGGAGAUUCCUCUUGCUUAUCAGUACAAUAGAGGCACCUGAAGCAAAUCUUGCGGAUAUGCUGUUUGCCCCACCUGUUGCUCUCUGUCAUUA